AUUGAACCCACAUCCUCAUGGAUGCUAGUCGGGUUUGUUAAGCGCUGAGCCAUGAUGGGAAGUCCAUAUCCUGACAGUUUUAAAUGCGAAUAUCAGACUAUGUGACCCUUCUGUAGAAUCACAACAAUUACACACUCUGUUUACAUGGUUCAUCCCUGAAGGGUGCCUUGAACUUGUCAGAAAAGACAAACACAAGCCAGAUUCCAAAAGGCUGUAUAGAGGAAGGGAGUGGUACCCUAGACAGGAUAGAGCGCUCACUCUGGAGCGAGUGAGAACUGUCACAGGUACGUUGUGUGACAGGCACCCUCCUGUCAGCUGCAGACCUAUUCCCAGUGUCCUAGCCAGGUGUGGGGUCUGGAAAUUUGAGGUAGGCAUCUCCCCUUUCUUAUGAGACCAUCACACCAACCCAUGGCAGAUGGGCAAACUCCCUAAAGAUGUUUAAAUCUGUGGUUUUUUUUGUUGUUGUUUUUCUUUUUUUUUUUCUUUUUUUUUUUGGCCAGUCACCUGCCAGAUGUUCUGGGGUGCCAUCAGCUCAGUGUGGGAUGGCUGCCACCAUGUCCCUCCCCAACAUUUUCCACACCUGCAAGGAGUGGAGGGGGGGAGCAGUGAUGGGGAGAGCAGCUGAGCCGCGCUUGGGAUCCUAGGGGUUGAAGGAAUGGACAGCUGAGAAUCUGUUUCUAGAAUGUUGUAUGCCUGGGGCUUGGGAAGUCUCCAAACUCCAGGCACAAGCUCCAUGGACCCAUUUUACAAAGCAUAAAUUCAAGGGAAAAAUUUUUAAAUAUUUGAAAAUGGAAACUCUAGAGUGUUAUUCCCCGAGCAUAAACCAUUCUGGAGGUGGUGAGGAGUGGCUGGUCACACGGCCAUGAAGCCAACCCUGAAUAGGUAGGACAAAACCAUAGUUUAGUGGAACAUGAGAAAUAUGUAUUUAGUACAGAACUGGCAUAGAGGAAGGUGUAAUUAACCCUAUAAAUAUGGUGGAAAGAAGGGAUGGUUCCUCUAGGAGUGACAAUUUAAGCUGAGUUUUGGAUCUAAAUCUGAUUUCUCUGAGCCAAUAAAGAAUGGGGAAUGGCAUUAUAGGCACAAGAAUGCCUUGUCCAAAGUCUCAGAAACAUGGAUGAUCAUGUCAUCUUUGAAAAACUGCAAAUGUUGGUAUAGCGGCAGUGUGUCCUUGUAUGCAAGCUCAUGAGUCUGUCUAGGGUUAAAAAAUAAUGCAGGGUCAGUUGUAAGCAAUUAGGGUUUGGGUUGCAUCAUGUUAGAACUUGUGUAGAUACUUGAAAGGAAUUAAGCCUUAUGCAUACCCAAGCUCAAAAGUGAGAUCUUCAAUUUCCAAACAGCAAAAGAUAACAGGAUAAAUUAUACUCUGCAGUCUCAAAAUGUCAGAAAUUCUUCAUUGAUAUGCAGCAACAACAAGCUUUCAAAGGUCUUAAGCUAAACUGGAGGAAAAGACCACACAUGGUAUCAAUGACUUUCUAAUCAAGAUUUCUCGGAUUUUUCUCCAUAGAGUAUGCCAUUCCAUGUUAUUAGAAAACUAUAGUUAAAAUGAACUCGGUGAUGAGUGUUUAGGCCACUGUCACUGGAAGGUCUAUGCCUGGCUGACACCCCAGAUAUGAUUUUCUUACUAAGCGUGAAAAUCACUUUUAAAAAUACCCCGUUUCUUUCGUGUUUGAUUUCUUUCUAGAAGAGAAUGUAUAGACUUAUGUUGUCCAAAUGAGAAAUAAACUUUCUUUUUUUCCUUUCCUCCACCUUGGUUAUAAAGUUGGUAUGAUAAAUUGGCAGUAGGGAUUAAAAACAAAAUCAGAAAUAUUUGCCCUUCGUGUUCUUUUUCCUUAACUCAUGACAGAAGAAGAGACUUUCAGUGGUUACUAUGAAAUCUCCUUUCCAAAUAGCAAGACUUUUUGGGGUCCCUGACUCUUCAUCUUCCAAAUAGCAAGACUUUUACGGGGUCCCUGACUCUUCAUCUUAUCACUUACUAAAGGAUCCAGCUUUCCAUCAUCUCCAAGCGCAUACAUUUUUCCUGACUUAUAUGCCCCAGAAAUCCUGUGUUAAGUGGCCACAAUGCUGGUGAAGAUAUUUAAUUACGUGUAUAUGUUCAAAUAUGCUUAAUGCAGUAUCCCCUUCUAGUUUGAUGGCUCAAAAAGAACAGGGGCUAUGCUUUCUGGUUCCCUCAGGCACAUACGGGCACUAGCAUUGAUUUGGGUUUAUAGAUAGCUCUUGAUAUUUGUUGUAUUAAAUUGAAAUCAAUUAAGUGAAUUAGUCAUGGUAGUUAACCUUGGCUUUAAAAAUCAUGAAGUGGAGAAAGCAUCCUCCAUUUAUUUUUUUCAAAACCUCCCUUUAACAUUUUUUUAAAAUUAUGGGAUAUAUUAGGUUACAGACUCACAGCCUCUGAGUCAUAGACCUCUUUAUCAGGGGUAGAAGGGAUGCAAGUAGGAUGUGUAGUGGUGGAUAUAGAAUUAUAAAAGGGAUCUAGUCGUCCGUAAACAUGUUAACAUUUCUCAGUCAGUGAAUGCUCAAUUUUAACUAAUUAUAUGUGGGUGUUCAUGGACCUGGAACUUGUUAGAAUGGUCUCCUUAUUUCCAACAGAGUGAAGAAUCCAUGGUUUACAUAUAAAAUCAAAACUGGGUGAGGUAGAGUUCCCACUGUGGCACAGCAGGUUAAGGAUCCAGUUUGUCUCUGCAGAAGCUCAAGUUGCUGCUGAGGCAUAGGUUUGAUCCCUGGCCUGGUGCAGUUGGGUUAAAGAUUUGGUGUUGCUGCAGCUGUGGCAUAGGUUGCAGUUGUGGCUCAGAUUUGAUCCCUGGCCCUAGAAAUUCCCUAUGCUGUGGAUGUGGCCAACCCCACCCCACCCCCCCCCCAAAAAAAAAAAACUGGGAAAGGAAAGAAAUGGCAAAACCGGAUCUGAUACUUGUUAUAGCAAGAAGUCCCCUCCUUGUAUCUACUUUAAACAACUCCCAGGUCCAGAUUGCUGAGUAUCCAAUGAGUGUGAACAUUUUCGAGGAUCUUGGGCUAGUAGGUAUGGGCACUGACUUUCAUCAUUGGGCAGCACCUGCUGUGGCUAUGGAUUGGGCAUCAGUGCUUCUGCAUGUAUCUUAAGUUCUGUGUGUGAUGUCAAAAGUCUAUUUUUAGACUUUUAAGCUGAUUGGGGUUUUCCUAGUCUUUGUUUAUUUUGGGAAGUAGUUUAAUCCAAUCUUCGUAUAUUCUAAGAAAAUGUCAAUUUCAGCUUCAGUCCAAAUACUGUAUAAUCACAGCACUCUGAUGUAAACUCCAAGCUGAACUUGAGCAAACUUAACACAUUCCAUUUUGUAGUGUAAUAACCAAGUUUAAAUCCAACUGCACGAGGAAACGACCCAGUAUGUAAGGGCAAUUUAAAGCCUAAUGAUCAUAUUUGCUGCUGCUGACAGACAUGAUGAUGCCUGUUCCCCAAAAUGACUCUCGCCAAGGAAAGCAAAGCAAUUGAUUCUGAGCUUCUAAAUUAAAAAAAGAU
rnacentral:lncRNA from 1 species